rnacentral:sRNA from 1 species
AAACCUGAGGCAAUUAAUAAAUCAACCAUUUUAUAUAGAACAGCCUGCAAGGCAUGCUUUUCUUUUUGGGCGGGUGCAAAGCAAAAACGUUAGGUAUAUCUCUCUAGUACGAAACUGAAGCUUAGGGGAUAACUUGCAGAGCGUCGUCCGUCAAUCUAAUUUUCCCGGAAAUUUUUGAAAUUUUCUCAGCAGCCAUGAAAACCCACUCUGCUUCUCUAGUUUUCGUCUCAGUUCUUCUCUUUCUCUUCCAAUCCUAACAACCCAUGCCGAAGCUGAGGUUAUAACCCUAACCGCCGACACCUUCUCGGACAAGGUGAAGGAGAGAGACACGGCAUGGUUUGUGAAAUUCUGUGUACCGUGGUGUAAACAUUGUAAGAACAUGGGUACGUUGUGGGAGGACCUUGGGAAGACAGUGGAAGGCGAAGACGAAAUAGAGGUUGGGGAAGUUGAUUGCAGUACGAGUAAACCCGUAUGUUCCAAAGUUGACAUUCAUUCAUAUCCUACGUUUAAAGUAUUCUAUGAUGGUGAAGAAGUCGCAAAAUAUCAAGGGCCGAGGGAUGUUGACUCACUUAAAAACUUUGUCUUAGAAGAAGCCGAAAAGGCAGCAACAAGGGCACAGCUUGACAAUGAUAAAGAGUUGUAGUGAACUGUCGGAUGUGACUUGCGUGUUGAACCCGCAUUAGCACACAUGGUGACAGACGCCCAGUAUAUGCUUCUAUGGACAUCAGCUCAGCUUCAGCUUCAGCAGUUGGGUUCGGGCACAACAAUUUUGACUCGGGAUCGCGACUCCAGUGGGGCAAAUACCAACUACAACUCAUACAUGGGCAACAGCAGCUUGUAUUCAUGAAUGAAUUUAAAAACUCGGUAAUUUUCACAUGAUAUUUAGUUUGGAUGUUCGUUUGGUAGGUGUAAUUGUCCAAGUUUUAAGUUAUUGCAGGUUUAAUUUCAUCACGAAUAGUUCGUGUUUGGAUUUAUAAGUUGUUUUCAGACAUGACAAACGAGUUUAUACUGGAGAUUGGAGAUCUAUUAUUAUUUAGUAUCAUCUUGCUAACUGUCAUAUAUGUUAUAAAA